UACGUAGGGUGCAAGCGUUGUCCGGAAUUAUUGGGCGUAAAGAGCUCGUAGGCGGUCUGUCGCGUCUGCUGUGAAAACUCAGGGCUUAACCCUGAGCUUGCAGUGGGUACGGGCAGACUAGAGUGCGGUAGGGGAGACUGGAAUUCCUGGUGUAGCGGUGAAAUGCGCAGAUAUCAGGAGGAACACCGGUGGCGAAGGCGGCAUCCUGGACCGACACUGACGGCUGAGGAGCGGAAAGCCCAGGGGAGGCAAACGGG
rnacentral:rRNA from 1 species